rnacentral:rRNA from 1 species
AUUGAACGCUAGCGGGAUGCUUUACACAUGCAAGUCGAACGGCAGCGCGGACUUCGGUCUGGCGGCGAGUGGCGAACGGGUGAGUAAUGUAUCGGAACGUGCCCAGUAGCGGGGGAUAACUACGCGAAAGCGUAGCUAAUACCGCAUACGCCCUACGGGGGAAAGCAGGGGAUCGUAAGACCUUGCACUAUUGGAGCGGCCGAUAUCGGAUUAGCUAGUUGGUGAGGUAACGGCUCACCAAGGCGACGAUCCGUAGCUGGUUUGAGAGGACGACCAGCCACACUGGGACUGAGACACGGCCCAGACUCCUGCGGGAGGCAGCAGUGGGGAAUUUUGGACAAUGGGGGCAACCCUGAUCCAGCCAUCCCGCGUGUGCGAUGAAGGCCUUCGGGUUGUAAAGCACUUUUGGCAGGAAAGAAACGUCGCGGGCUAAUACCCCGUGGAACUGACGGUACCUGCAGAAUAAGCACCGGCUAACUACGUG